rnacentral:lncRNA from 1 species
AUAAUGAUCCAACGCCAUCUCCCAAUCUUGAAUUCCCUGUGUUCGAAGCAGAGGAAGAUGAUGUUGAAGGGAAUUCCUGACGAGAUUUCCUGACUUCUUGAGCACGAAGAGAAGAUCAUUCAGCUGUAUCUUGAGAAUCAGCAGAACAGUCAAACUGGGGCAUUACAAAUGUAAUGUAAAAAAAAGAGGGGGUGAAAAAAAAAAGGAAUAAAAAAAAAUCAAAAAAAAU